GGGGGGGGAGAGAAGAAUUGGCACGUACAGAAUCUUUAGAAGCUUUUGUUGGUUUAAUUUGGAAACUUUUUCCUGGAGCAAAAUAUGGUGAAAUUCCUUGGAACUGUGUUUUUUAUUCUGUAUUUUGGAGUAUUUAAUUUUCUUGUAUGACGGAGUACUCAGGUGGAGAGCAAUGUGCUCAUUUUCAAAGACCAGAUUUGUCCUUUAAUCUGCUGUAGGACAAGGUGGUUUUCUUGGCCUCUCUCUUCCCUUUGGGCUUUGCUUUAGUGGUUUUUACAUAGUGCUUUUGGUGUUGUUCAACUUGAUAUGAUGGUGUUAUUUUUCUAGUCUUAUCUUUGCAUGUUGCUUCUUCUUUAUGUUGGUUAGAACUGGAGGAUUUCUUAUCCUUCAUGUUAUGAUAUCCUUUCUUUCUUGAUAAAAUUUGU
rnacentral:misc_RNA from 1 species